GCGUCACUGACGAGUCUUAUGUAGACGAAACGCGCGUCUGACGU
rnacentral:hammerhead_ribozyme from 1 species